rnacentral:rRNA from 1 species
ACAGAGGAGGCAAGCGUUGUUCGGAAUCACUGGGCUUAAAGCGCGUGUAGGCGGCUUAGAAAGUGUCGUGUGAAAUCCCGCGGCUCAACCGCGGAACUGCACGGCAAACUACUUGGUUUGAGGUCGGUAGAGGUGCCUGGAACUCUAGGUGGAGCGGUGGGAUGCGUAGAUAGUUAGAUGAACGACAGAAUCGAAAGCCGGGUUUUGGACCGUUACCGAUUCUAAGCCGAGAAAGCGUCUCGAGCAAACAG